AUUGAACGCUGGCGGCAGGCUUAACACAUGCAAGUCGAGCGGGGUGAUGGUGCUUGCACUAUCACUUAGCGGCGGACGGGUGAGUAAUGCUUAGGAAUCUGCCUAUUAGUGGGGGACAACAUCUCGAAAGGGAUGCUAAUACCGCAUACGUCCUACGGGAGAAAGCAGGGGAUCACUUGUGACCUUGCGCUAAUAGAUGAGCCUAAGUCGGAUUAGCUAGUUGGGGGGGUAAAGGCCUACCAAGGCGACGAUCUGUAGCGGGUCUGAGAGGAUGAGCCGCCACACUGGGACUGAGACACGGCCCAGACUCCUACGGGAGGCAGCAGUGGGGAAUAUUGGACAAUGGGGGGAACCCUGAUCCAGCCAUGCCGCGUGUGUGAAGAAGGCCUUAUGGUUGUAAAGCACUUUAAGCGAGGAGGAGGCUCUUUUGGUUAAUACCCAAGAUGAGUGGACGUUGCUCGCAGAAUAAGCACCGGCUAACUCUGUGCCAGCAGCCGCAGUAA
rnacentral:rRNA from 1 species